AAUAUAUAAACCAACAACCACAAGAUGAACUAAUAGAUUAUGAUGCAAAAGGCACUGAAAACUUGCUCUGGGAGGAAAGAAGAGGGCAUAGGGAGACUUCCUUUCCUGAGAAGGUGACUUUUCAGCUGAAUUUGAAGGUACCUUCCAGGCAUGAGCCUAAGAAACAACAUCAGAGUGAAGCACACUGGCUUCUGCUUCACACAGGACAUGCUUCAUAAAGCCUGCGCUUCCUAUAAGAUCACACCUUCCACCUCAGCCCCUAGUCCUGGGACCAGAGCCACCAAGAGGACCUAAAUCAAGGUGAAUGAGGGAAGGUUGGUGGCCAGUUACAUUUUGCACUAUAAAACCCCAAACUUCCCUCUAGCAAAUCCCUGUGUUGGUUUUGUAUUUGCUUUCUUUUUGGCUUCUAAACUCCUUACAAUAGACUCAAUGUUCUAUUAUCAUCAUUAAGAUAAAACAGCAGGUCUCAGUAUGUACUGAAUACUUUUUUAAAACAUAACAUCGGACCUACAAAAAAGUUGCUAAAACAGUGAAGAAUUCCUGGACAAUCUUUACCCAGAUACCCCAAAAGUUAGCAUUUUACUACAUUUGCCUUAUCUAUCAUCUAUCUCCCUUUAAAUUUUUUCUUUUACCAUUUAAGAGUGAAUUGGAGACCUGAUGCCCUAUUCCCUUAAAUAGUUAUGUACAUUUCCUAAAAGCCUGCCUAAAAAUUCUGCCUCUCAAAACCACAGUACAAUUAUCUAAAUCACAAUGUUAACAUUGAUGGAACACAAUUAUCUAGUCUAUAAUCCUUCCUCAGAUUUUGCCAAUUGUUCCUAUAAUGUCCUUUCUAGCCAAAGAAAACCCAGUUACGUGUUGCAUUUGCUUGUCAUGUCCACGGACAUCUAGAAUAGUUCCUGAAUCUUUUUAUUUCAUGGCGUUGACAUAUUUGAAGUGAACAGCCCAGUUAUCUUGUAGAAUGCCC
rnacentral:lncRNA from 10 species